GUGCUCGUGCACGCGCUCUCUCUCUCUCUCUCUGACAAAUAAAUAAAAUCUUUAGAAAAAAAAAAAAGAUUCAGAGAGUCCUGCAGUGACGCUGGUGACAAGGUUAUUAUCAGGGUCCAGGUAAUAAAGGUGUGUCUAACACAUCUGCCAAAAUGUGUUCUUCAGGUUACUGGUAAGAUACCAUGGUAAUCCUCAUAAUGAUCGUUAAAGGGAUUUUGUUUGAAUCCAAGUAAGUGACGAUGAUAGCCUUUUCCAUGCGCUAGGCCAUCUAACAUUUGGAUAGCUGAGUAAGUACGGAUGGUAUUCCUAACCUCGUGCUGCUGGUUUUUUGCGGGUAUUCAGGUAAGAAAUGAUAUUGUCAAUCGAUGCUAGUAAGCAUUAGCCCUUAUUAUUUUAAAGUUUAGAUAUAAUGUUUGUAGAACAUCAGUGAUAAUCAGAGAUUACAUAAGUGUCCAGGUAAGUUAGCAUUUUGCUCAUCUCCUCUUUCUUGAGCUGGCUUCUUACAGUUAUCUUGUCAAGACUGUUGUGUCUCUAACUAGGGGGUUGACCUUGAACUUCCACAAGUUUCUAGGUAGAUUUGAUAGACUUCAUGAAUUUGAUGGGAUUUUUCAGAUGUUCAGAUAAUACAUGUAUUCCUAACGCAGUUUUUACCAUGAGUUUUUAUAGAAUACACUCAAAAGAUGAUGGAAGGCCUUCAAGAAAAUAUACCAGGAAAAUCCCAGAUUAAAUACUAUGGUCGUGAUGAGCACCGGGUGAUCUACCCACUCAGGAGGAGAAAAGUGUCUCUAUCCAAGGUCUUCUCGCUAGAUUUUUCAGGUGUUUUAGAUAUUCUGAGAAGAGAUGAUGGUGUUCCUAACAACACUAAUGACUGUAGUAGGAUUCUGCACAUAUCCAGUGAAGAGACGAUGGCAUCUCUAUCAACAUUGCUGUCUAUGGAAAUGAAAGAAAUAGAAUGUUUCUUUUUGAUUACCUAUAUAAUUUGUUAAAAGAAUUUUA